GAGGCAGCAGUGGGGAAUCUUGGACAAUGGGGGCAACCCUGAUCCAGCCAUGCCGCGUGAGUGAUGAAGGCCCUAGGGUCGUAAAGCUCUUUCGCCAGGGAUGAUAAUGACAGUACCUGGUAAAGAAACCCCGGCUAACUCCGUGCCAGCAGCCGCGGUAAUACGGAGGGGGUUAGCGUUGUUCGGAAUUACUGGGCGUAAAGCGCGCGUAGGCGGAUUAGUCAGUCAGAGGUGAAAUCCCAGGGCUCAACCCUGGAACUGCCUUUGAUACUGCUAGUCUUGAGUUCGAGAGAGGUGAGUGGAAUUCCGAGUGUAGAGGUGAAAUUCGUAGAUAUUCGGAGGAACACCAGUGGCGAAGGCGGCUCACUGGCUCGAUACUGACGCUGAGGUGCGAAAGUGUGGGGAGCAAACAGGAUUAGAUACCCUGGUAGUCCACACCGUAAACGAUGAAUGCCAGUCGUCGGGUAGCAUGCUAUUCGGUGACACACCUAACGGAUUAAGCAUUCCGCCUGGGGA
rnacentral:rRNA from 1 species